UACGUAGGGCGCAAGCGUUAUCCGGAAUUAUUGGGCGUAAAGAGCGCGUAGGCGGUCCGAUAAGUCGGCUGUGAAAGUCCAGGGCUCAACCCUGGAAAGCCGGCCGAUACUGUCAGACUAGAGUCCGGAAGAGGCGAGUGGAAUUCCCGGUGUAGCGGUGAAAUGCGCAGAUAUCGGGAGGAACACCUAUGGCGAAGGCAGCUCGCUGGGACGUUACUGACGCUGAGACGCGAAAGCGUGGGGAGCAAACAGG
rnacentral:rRNA from 1 species